GCCUCAAUGGUCUAGUGGUAUGAUUCCUGCUUUGGGUUAUUGUUAUAAAACAACAUUUAUGCAGGAGGUCUCCGGUUCAAUCCCGGAUUGAGGCC
rnacentral:tRNA from 1 species